rnacentral:lncRNA from 1 species
UGCAUUCAUACUGACUGUCUAUGCAUCACAAUGGUGGGAGUAAUAUUAGUCAUCACUGCUUAGUGUUUCACAAGCAUUCUAUCUUAGCUCCCAUUCUACAACUUUAUUUAACCAAUAUCACUAAUUCUUUCCAUGAGAAUAAUCUCUUUGGGAAAAGAUACACCACCACAUGGGGAUAUACCAGCCCAGAAAGGAAAAAUCACCCCGGAAAUCCAGGUAGAAGGGCUGAGGCUCUGAGGAGCCAAUUAGUUCUUUUAGAAAGAUCACACAGGCACACACCUGGGCCCCACCAGACCUCCAGGCACAUACAAGGACAAGACAGCUUUCUGUGGACAUAUCAGCUGGAAAAAUGGAGCAUAACAGUAAUACAGACACAAGACUCUUGGGAAGGCUGUGAAGUGAAGAGAUGACGGACAGUCUAUGACUAGAUGCCUUAAUGGGAAAGGCAAGAAAGAAUGGCUCUGCAACAUACUUCUAACCUCUACUGAAAACAUAUUUUCUCUUCUUUCUUAAUCCCUAAUACUUCUUUCAUAAAUAUAAAGAAGCCAAUUUUC